rnacentral:rRNA from 1 species
GAUGAACGCUGGCGGCGUGCCUAAUACAUGCAAGUCGAGCGAACGGACGAGAAGCUUGCUUCUCUGAUGUUAGCGGCGGACGGGUGAGUAACACGUGGAUAACCUACCUAUAAGACUGGGAUAACUUCGGGAAACCGGAGCUAAUACCGGAUAAUAUUUUGAACCGCAUGGUUCAAAAGUGAAAGACGGUCUUGCUGUCACUUAUAGAUGGAUCCGCGCUGCAUUAGCUAGUUGGUAAGGUAACGGCUUACCAAGGCAACGAUGCAUAGCCGACCUGAGAGGGUGAUCGGCCACACUGGAACUGAGACACGGUCCAGACUCCUACGGGAGGCAGCAGUAGGGAAUCUUCCGCAAAGGGCGAAAGCCUGACGGAGCAACGCCGCGUGAGUGAUGAAGGUCUUCGGAUCGUAAAACUCUGUUAUUAGGGAAGAACAUAUGUGUAAGUAACUGUGCAUAUCUUGACGGUACCUAAUCAGAAAGCCACGGCUAACUACGUG